AAAAGAUUUUAAUGCUCUGUGAGCAUAAGGGCGUAAAAGGAAACCGAAAAAUAACUGAAUGGCUUCAAAAAAACAGGCUAAUGUCUUCAACAAAGAAAUGCAGAAUAUGUAAAAAAAAAAUGAAAUUAAGGAAGACGCAAAACAAAGAUGGAAUCCAAUGGAUAUGUCAACGAAGAGCACACAAUGAAAAAGUGACAAAAUCAUGCAGGUCAGGAUCAAUAUUCGACAAGACCAAUACAAGUUUACAAAAUUGGAUGACUUUUAUAUACAGAUUCAGUCAAGGUUUACGUUUACGCCAAGUCGACAUGGUCCAGGAUGGCAUUGCUGGAAGCUCUGCCACCCUUACUAAAAUGACCCGUAAACUGAGAUUAGUCUGAAGGAAAGCCUUGAAGAUGUUCAAAAGGAAGACAGGACAACGCAUGGGUGGAAGAAGGGAAUUUAU